CUACGGGACGCUCCAGUGGAGAAUUUUGCGCAAUGGGGGGAACCCUGACGCAGCAAUACCGCGUGAGUGAAGAAGGCCUUUGGGUCGUAAAGCUCUUUUCUGAAGGAAGAUAGUGACGGUACUUCAGGAAUAAGCACCGGCUAACUCCGUGCCAGCAGCCGCGGUAAUACGGAGGGUGCGAGCGUUGUUCGGAUUUACUGGGCGUAAAGGGCACGUAGGCGGCCUGGCAAGUUAAGGGUGAAAUCCCGGGGCUUAACUCCGGAACUGCUCUUAAAACUGCCAAGCUAGAGAUAGUCAGAGGCGGGUGGAAUUCCUGGUGUAGAGGUGAAAUUCGUAGAUAUCAGGAGGAACACCGGUGGCGAAGGCGGCCCGCUGGGGCUAUUCUGACGCUAAGGUGCGAAAGCGUGGGGAGCGAACGGGAUUAGAUACCCCAGUAGUC
rnacentral:rRNA from 1 species